AUGAAGUCGGAAUCGCUAGUAAUCGCGAAUCAGAAUGUCGCGGUGAAUACGUUCCCGGGCCUUGUACACACCGCCCGUCACACCAUGGGAGUGGGUUGUACCAGAAGUAGAUAGCUUAACCUUCGGGAGGGCGUUUACCACGGUAUGAUUCAUGACUGGGGUGAAGUCGUAACAAGGUAACCGUAGGGGAACCUGCGGUUGGAUCACCUCCUUA
rnacentral:rRNA from 1 species